rnacentral:misc_RNA from 1 species
UCCGGCUUAUCACCGGCAGUUCCUUUAGAGUGCCCAACUAAAUGGUGGCAACUAAAGGCGAGGGUUGCGCUCGUUGCGGGACUUAACCCAGCAUCUCACGACACGAGCUGACGACAGCCAUGCAGCACCUGUGUGUAGGUCCCGUAAGGGGAGGAAUCCAUCUCUGGAAACCGUCCUACCAUGUCAAACGCUGGUAAGGUUCUGCGCGUUGCUUCGAAUUAAACAACAUGCUCCGCUGCUUGUGCGGGCCCCCGUCAAUUCCUUUGAGUUUUAGCCUUGCGGCCAUACUCCCCAGGCGGGGCACUUAAUGCGUUAGCGCCGGCACUCGGAGGGUCGCUCCCCCAAGCACCUAGUGCCCAUCGUUUACGGCGUGGACUAC